rnacentral:rRNA from 1 species
UACGUAGGCAGCAAGCGUUGUUCGGAAUUACUGGGCGUAAAGAGUGUGUAGGCGGUGCUCUAAGUCUGUUGUGAAAUCUCCCGGCUUAACUGGGAGGGUGCGGCGGAAACUGGAGUGCUCGAGGGUGGGAGAGGUAAGCGGAAUUCCUGGUGUAGCGGUGAAAUGCGUAGAUAUCGCUUGGAACGCCAAAGGUGAAGACAGGCAACUGGGAGUGCGCCGACGCUGAGACGGCGAAAGCCAGG